CAUGGCCCUUAUGGGUUGGGCUACACACGUGCUACAAUGGCGAACACAAAGGGAUGCAAGAUGGCAACAUGGAGCAAAUCCUCAACUUUCGUCGUAGUUCGGAUUGUUCUCUGCAACUCGAGAACAUGAAGUUGGAAUCGCUAGUAAUCGUAGAUCAGCAUGCUACGGUGAAUUUGUAUCUAAGCCUUGUACACACCGCCCGUCACAUAAUGGGAGCGGGACUUGCACAAAGCAUAUU
rnacentral:rRNA from 13 species